GACGUACGUGAAGAAGAAGAAGAAGAAGAUUAGUGUCAAACUGUUCAAAAAAAAAAGGGAAGAAAUUAUAACUCCCAAUCUCAUAAGUGGGUAGGGGUCGUAGAGGAUAAGAAAGCCAUUUUCUUUCCAUAAUUCCUCCUACAUACGCUCUCUGCUUUGUCUUUUCUCUUCCUCACAAUUGCCCCUCCUCCUUUCUCUCUGUGUUUGUACAGCUUUUAAAAUAAAUAAAUAUUAUCUUUGAACAACCCCCAUCUUCUCUCUUUCAUCCUCUCCUCCGAAAACCACACUUUUCUUCUUUUUAUGUCUGGAACUAGAAUGUUGUGGAGAUGCAGGAAACUCAAGGACGCAACGAAUCCUCUGGUACUCUCUUCCCGUUUCGAAUCCCCGGUCCGUUUCUCAAGAGGAAUCUCCACGCACCUGAACUACUUAAACAUCGGGUGUAACCGCCGGAAGGAAUCAUUGAUCGGAAUCCAAGAGCGCUACAAGUGGGAGAAUUCCAAGGACGACAGCAAUGUUCGGAAAAUUAGGGCAGAAGCGAAUUGUCCGAGGUGCUCUAAACACAUGGAUGUGCUCUUCUCCAAUCGGAGUUUCGUAUUUAGUAAUAAUUCUAAUCUUGAUCAUCAUCAUCAUCAUCAUUUGAGUCGCAAUAAUGAUACUGCUAAUAAUAAUACUAAUAAUACUACAACUGCUGAUACUGGCGCUUGUAAUGGAAAUGGGCAUAAUAAUAAUUAUCAGGCUGUGAAUUUCUGUCCUAAUUGUAAGACAGCCUAUUAUUUUAGGCCGGAUAAGAUUGCGCCGUUACAAGGCAGUUUUGUUGAGAUUGGUAGGAUUAGUAAUAAGGGGAAUGGGAAAAAUGGGAAUAAGGGAGGUAAGGAAGGGAGUAAUGGUGGUGAAGAGGGGGCGGAUUAUGCCAAUGUUACUAAUACUAUUAAUAAUAGGUUAAGGGUGUCGUUCUGGGAGACGUUGAGGUCUUAUGGAGGGGAUCCGCCGGAGAAUUGGCCUCAGGGGAUUCCUCCUCCGCCACCCCCGGGUGGGAAUGGGUUGGCUGUGCAUACGCCUCCUGGUCCGCCGUUUGCUCCGGGGGUUAGCGUGGUUAGGGCUUUUAAGCCAGGUGGAGAAAAGAGUGGAGGUGGUGGUGGGAAUGGAGGUGGUGAGAAGAAUGGUGCUGGAUGGGGUGGGUCAAAUUUGGGGAAGGAAUUGCCGACGCCAAAGGAGAUUUGCAAAGGUCUUGAUAAGUUUGUUAUUGGACAAGACAGAGCAAAAAAGGUGCUUUCUGUGGCUGUCUACAACCAUUAUAAGAGGGUUUACCAUUCCUCCUUGCGGAAAGGGCCAGGAGCAGAAUCAGGAACUUUGGAGGCUAUAGAUGAUGAAGACAAUGUGGAACUGGAAAAAAGCAAUGUACUCUUGAUGGGCCCAACUGGCUCAGGGAAGACAUUGUUGGCAAAAACACUAGCACGCUUUGUGAAUGUGCCAUUCGUGAUUGCUGAUGCAACAACACUAACCCAGGCUGGUUAUGUUGGUGAAGAUGUUGAAUCAAUAUUGUAUAAAUUACUCUCGGCAGCUGAAUUUAAUGUGCAAGCAGCUCAACAAGGAAUGGUCUACAUUGAUGAAGUUGAUAAGAUAACAAAGAAGGCUGAGAGCUUAAACAUAAGCAGGGAUGUUUCUGGUGAGGGUGUCCAACAGGCAUUAUUGAAAAUGCUGGAAGGAACUAUAGUAAAUGUUCCUGAGAAGGGGGCAAGGAAGCAUCCUCGGGGUGAUAACAUACAGAUAGAUACAAAAAAUAUCCUCUUUAUAUGUGGUGGAGCAUUUGUUGAUCUUGAAAAGACCAUUUCAGAGAGACGACAAGAUUCAUCAAUUGGAUUUGGAGCACCUGUGCGUGCUAAUAUGAGAGCAGGUGGAGUAACCAAUGCUGCAAUCACUUCAUCUUUGCUAGAAUCUGUUGAGAGUGCUGAUCUUAUUGCUUAUGGCCUUAUACCGGAGUUUAUUGGACGCUUUCCAAUAUUAGUUAGUUUGGCAGCUCUAACUGAGGAUCAACUUGUUAAGGUCCUCAUGGAACCGAGAAAUGCCCUUGGUAAACAGUAUAAGAAGUUGUUUAGCAUGAAUAACGUGAAGCUACAUUUUACUGAUAAGGCACUAAGACUAAUUGCGAAAAAGGCAAUGGCUAAGAAUACUGGUGCCAGGGGUUUAAGAUCCAUACUUGAAAGCAUUCUAACUGAAGCCAUGUAUGAGGUUUUGUUGCUUAUUUGCUUCAGAUCCCAGACAUCAAAACAGGAAGUGAUAGAGUAGAUGCUGUUGUAAUUGAUGAGGAGUCUGUAGGUUCAGUGCAUGCUCCUGGAAGUGGUGGGAAAAUCCUGCGUGGAGAUGGUGCAUUGGAGCAUUACCUAGCAGAAUAUAAGGUUGAGGCAGCUGAUGGGGAGUUGCAGGACGCUGAAUCAGAGGUUUCAUCAAGAGCAAUGAGCAUGUAGCACUACUACAAAGAUAACUGUUAACUUAAAGUUACAAUUCCUCUUUUUAUUUGUAAAAAUCAAAUUCAUGAUUGGAUGUAAUAAUCCCUUGUAAAACAGCAUAGUUUCUGGUUGAAAAGUUAAUUGGAUAAUAGGAAAAGUAAAUGAGGAAAAUACGUAGGACAUUGUACAAAAGUUCUAUUCAUUCUCUUUAAGGAGACCUAAUUUGUCAAUUUUCAAUUUUA